CAUUUACUUCCUCCGUUUCAAAUUAUUUGUCGCAAGUAUAAAUGUAUCUAGAUGUAUUUUAGUUUUAGAUAUAUUCAUUUUUAUGACGAGUAAUUUGGAACGGAGGAAGUAGUUU
rnacentral:pre_miRNA from 1 species